rnacentral:rRNA from 1 species
CAGCAGCCGCGGGAAUACCGAGGGUGCAAGCGUUAAUCGGAAUUACUGGGCGUAAAGUGCGCGUAGGUGGUUUGUUAAGUUGGAUGUGAAAUCCCCGGGCUCAACCUGGGAACUGCAUCCAAAACUGGCAAGCUAGAGUAUGGUAGAGGGUGGUGGAAUUUCCUGUGUAGCGGUGAAAUGCGUAGAUAUAGGAAGGAACACCAGUGGCGAAGGCGACCACCUGGACUGAUACUGACACUGAGGCACGAAAGCGUGGGGAGCAAACAGGAUUAGAUACCCCUGUAGUCCCUGUCUCUUAUAC